rnacentral:rRNA from 1 species
UACGGAGGGUGCGAGCGUUACUCGGAAUCACUGGGCGUAAAGCGCGCGUAGGCGGCUUUUCAAGUCAGGGGUGAAAUCCCACGGCCCAACCGUAGAACUGCCUUUGAAACUGUAGAGCUUGAGUGUCGGAGAGGGUGGCGGAAUUCCAGGUGUAGGAGUGAAAUCCGUAGAUAUCUGGAGGAACACCGGUGGCGAAGGCGGCCACCUGGACGACAACUGACGCUGAGGUGCGAAAGCGUGGGUAGCAAACAGG